rnacentral:rRNA from 1 species
CAGGUAGGCGUCUCUGUAAGUCAGUAGUGAAAUCCUAUGGCUCAACCAUAGAACUGCUUCUGAAACUGCAGGGAUUGAGACCGGAAGAGGAGAGCGGAAUUCCCGGUGUAAGGGUGAAAUCUGUAGAUAUCGGGAGGAACACCUGUGGCGAAAGCGGCUCUCUGGUCUGGUUCUGACGCUAAGCUGCGAAAGCUCGGGGAGCAAACAGGAUUAGAUACCCUGGUAGUCCGAGCCGUAAACGAUGAGCACUAGGUGUUGGGGGGCAACCUUUAGCGCCGCAAGAUAACUCGUUAAGUGCUCCACCGUGGGGACUACGGCCGCAAGGCUAAA